CCGUCGUCGAAAGGGAAACAGCCCAGAUCGUCGUCUAAGGUCCCCAAGCGUGUGCUAAGUGGGAAAGGAUGUGGAGUCGCAUAGACAGCCAGGAGGUUGGCUCAGAAGCAGCCAUCCUUGAAAGAGUGCGUAACAGCUCACUGGUCUAGUGGUUCCGCGCCGACAAUGUAGCGGGGCUCAAGCACACCACCGAAGACGCGGCAGCAUGCCUUUGGCGUGCUGGGUAGGAGAGCGUCCUGUCAGGGGCGAAGCGGCGGCGCAAGCCGGCCGUGGACUUGGCGGGAGUGAGAAUGCAGACAUGAGUAGCGAAAGCGGGGUGAGGAUCCCCGCCGCUGGAUGACCAAGGGUUCCGGGGCCACGUUCGUCGUCCCCGGGUGAGUCGGGUCCUAAGGCGAGGCCGACAGGCGUAGUCGAAUGGAUGAACGGGUUGAUAUUCCCGUACCGGCAUGAGACCGGCAAAACCGAGGCUUGGAGUACUAACCUCCGCCCCCGGGCUUACCUUUCCUUCGGGAGGGGGAUGCGUGGUGGUGUUGGGACCGGUCCUUGUAGUAGGUCAGCGCAGGAGUGACGCAGGAGGGUAGCCGGCCGCGGAGGUGGUUUUCCGUGGUCAAGCACGCGGCCCGUCCCCCAGGCAAAUCCGGGGGGCGCGAGGGUGAGGUGCGAUGAUGGGCGCCGUUGGGCGCGAAUCCGGUGAUCCCAUGCUGCCGAGAAAAGCUUCGGCGUGAGGGCUUGUGCCGCCCGUACCCCAAACCGACACUGGUGGUCAGGUAGAGAAUACCAAAGCGAUCGAGCGAAUCCUGGUCAAGGAACUCGGCAAAUUACUCCCGUGCCUUCGGUAUAAGGGAGGCCCCUGAUGGUGAACCGGCUUGCCCGGGGAGCUGUUGGGGGUGGCACAGACCAGGGGGUAGCGACUGUUUACCAAAAACACAGGAGCGUGCGAAGGCGCAAGCCGCUGUAUACGCUCUGACGCCUGCCCGGUGCCGGAAGGUUAAGAGGAUCCGUCAGCCCCUUUGUUGGGGUGAAGCGGUGAAUUCAAGCCCCGGUAAACGGCGGUGGUAACUAUAACCAUCCUAAGGUAGCGAAAUUCCUUGUCGGGUAAGUUCCGACCUGCACGAAUGGCGUAACGACUUCCCCACUGUCUCGACCAGGAGCUCGGCGAAAUUGCAGUACGAGUAAAGAUGCUCGUUAAGCGCAGAAGGACGAAAAGACCCCGGGACCUUUACUAUACCUUGGUAUUGGCAUUAGGCGCGGAUUGUGUAGCAUAGGCGGGAGGCUUCGAAGCGGGUGCGCCAGCAUCCGUGGAGCCGCAAGGUGAAAUACCGCUCUGUUCUCGUUUGAUGUCUCACCUCGACCAGUCAUCCUGGUCAGGGACAGUGCCUGGCGGGUAGUUUAACUGGGGCGGUUGCCUCCCAAAGAGUAACGGAGGCGCUCAAAGGUUCCCUCAGCCCGGUUGGCAAUCGGGUGUUGAGUGUAAUCGCACAAGGGAGCUUGACUGCGAGACCGACGGGUCGAGCAGGGACGAAAGUCGGAGAUAGUGAUCCGGUGCCGGCGCACGGGCGCGGCAUCGCUCAACGGAUAAAAGGUACCCCGGGGAUAACAGGCUGAUCAUUCCCAAGAGUCCAUAUCGACGGGAUGGUUUGGCACCUCGAUGUCGGCUCGUCGCAUCCUGGGGCUGGAGCAGGUCCCAAGGGUUCGGCUGUUCGCCGAUUAAAGCGGCACGCGAGCUGGGUUCAGAACGUCGUGAGACAGUUUGGUCUCUAUCCUCUGCGCUCGUUGGAAUCUUGAGGAGACCUGCCCAUAGUACGAGAGGACCUGGGUGGACGAACCUCUGGUAUGCCGGUCGUCACGCCAGUGGCGCGGCCGGUUGGCUACGUUCGGAAGGGAUAACCGCUGAAAGCAUCUAAGCGGGAAGCCUCCUCCAAGAUCAGGAUUCCGUGGCACCCUCGAGUGCCUGUAGUCCCCAUGCAGAACACGUGGUUGAUAGGCCGGACGUGGAAGCCCCGCGAGGGGUGGAGCUGACCGGUACUAACGGACGAAAGGCAAUCACG
rnacentral:rRNA from 1 species